rnacentral:misc_RNA from 1 species
AAAAUGCGAUAAGUAAUGUGAAUUGCAGAAUUCAGUGAAUCAUCGAAUCUUUGAACGCACAUUGCGCCCGCCAGUAUUCUGGCGGGCAUGCCUGUUCGAGCGUCAUUUCAACCCUCAAGCCCCCGGGUUUGGUGUUGGGGAUCGGGCUGCGGUUCUACCGCGUCCCGGCCCCGAAAUCUAGUGGCGGUCUCGCUGCAGCCUCCAUUGCGUAGUAGCUAACACCUCGCAACUGGAACGCGGCGCGGCCAAGCCGUUAAACCCCCAACUUCUGAAUGUUGACCUCGGAUCAGGUAGGAAUGCCCGCUGAACUUAAGC